UUGAAAUCUAUUGUUGAAUUCUUGCUGAAUUUAUUAGGGUAAAAGCAUGAUUUGGGUAGUUUUGAUCUUGACUUGGGUGUUUAAUCUUGUGAAUUUGAGAAUUAAUCUCUUGAAUUGUAGUGGUUCCUAUGGUUGAAUUAUGAAUGAAAUCUUAGGAUGUUUUUAAUGCUUGAAUUUAGUCUUUACUUGUUAAUUUUGUUGCUGGAAAAUUGUUUGGAAGGAUUGGAUUUAAGCUCAAGUUCUUGAGCUUGUUGAGUUGUAUUUUAGGAUUUGAAGAUUCAAGGUGUGAGUUUGAAUUUUGUUGAUUAAUGUUGGAAUUGAAGUUGUUAGCUCUCUAUUGUGAUGAUUUUUAUCUGUAAGAAGUUAAUUUUGGGUAUGGUAUGAUUGAGGUUCGAAUUUAUGGAAAAAUUGGCAUGUUUAGGCCUUAAAAAUGGAGCUUUUAGGUGUUCUGAACCCAGUCGUCGCGACGGGGUUUUUGGCCGUCGCGACUGGGUUUGGCAGUGAGAAAUUCUGUUUUUCCCAAUUUUAUUUUGGCCAUAACUUUUGACUCGGGACUCCGUUUGGGACGUUCUUUAUAUCGUUGGAAAGCUCGUUCCGAGCUCUAUUUGAUUAUCUGUGUUUUGAAUGCCAUGUUUAUAUUUUGUGAAAGUGAAAUUGGGGAUUAACCCUAUUUGUGAAAUCCCGGAUUGUGUGACUAGGAUUACCGGCACCUGAUCAGGAGCACCCAGGGGUUUGGAAUCUCCUUUAUUGCGGGACAACAGGAAAGGGUAAGUCAGUGGCUGAUCAACCAUGAGUUUGAGGAGCAAGAUGAAGAAUGUACAUGUUCAAGCCAUAUCAGACCAAGCGGGUUAAGGGUCUAACAGUGUUGACUUUUGUAUUCUGUUUUGCCGCUUAGGUCGGCUAGUAAGAAAGAACUUGUAAUAAGUUUGUAAAUAUUUUUGGGAUCCCAACUAUUUUGAAAAGUUUAAAUAUAUUACAAGUUUAUUUUCA